CGAACGGUCUAAGAGUUUUUGAAUAGCCAUCGCAGUAUUGUUUAAUGCAUUUGGAAAACCCUGGACACAUCGGGACUUGUUUAGAUCUUAUAUCGAAUUUUCUUCCACAAAAGGUUGCCGAGAAUGCACAGCAAUUUCUUAACUUUGAAUGUUUAAUUGCAAAUUUUUAAAGUCAUUGUUUUUCAUUGUUGAUUAUGAUAAAUUUGUUUAAUCACAAUGCAGAUACUGAUCUACGUACUUCAAACACUCUAGGGGUAGUUUUAAUCUUAUUUGAUUAAAUAUUUCACCUAUGUAUAGAAACCUUAUCAAUUCUCUUAAGUUCUGAUAGAACUUAAUCAAUAAAAUAAAUAACUUAACUGAGAGAAAUUCGCUUUUAGUUCGUAAAAUUCUGCUUAGAUCGGAUAAGUCUGUGCAAAAAUAAAAGAAAAUAUGAGACUCAUUAUUCUUGCCAUCGUAUUGUCGUUUGUGGCAUACGUCACCAGCACAGAAUACAAUUGGGGUGAACCGAAUCUUGAGGAUGACUAUCUCAUUGCUGACGAUACAGUUUCGAAAAGAUCCUGGUUAUUCAAAGUUCCAAAGGCAGAAUAUGUGUUUAAACAAAAGAAAGAUGACAGACUGACCAUUUCUGGAAUUAGUAUUGUAGAUCCAAAAGGAAAGUGCAAUGCGGAAGUAACACUUACCAAAGGUGGAAUCGGGAAAAAAACUGCAACAUUAAAAUUCGUCGGGAAAGCUGGCAAAAAAUUCAAGUGCCGAGUCAAGAUUUGGGGAUAUCAAUAAAUUAUUUUGAUGAAAAAUUAUUAAA